UACAAAACAGCCGUUCGGGCUGUUCGGCAAAAGUAAGUCCUCCGUUUCAGGAGA
ncrna:unclassified sequences RAGATH-25 RNA